rnacentral:rRNA from 1 species
UACGUAGGUGACGAGCGUUAUCCGGAUUCACUGGGCGUAAAGGGUGCGCAGGCGGCCAGGUGUGUUAGGCGUGAAAGCCCGGGGCUUAACCCCGGAAUUGCACCUAAAACUACUUGGCUAGAGCAUUGGAGAGGGUAGCGGAAUUCACGGUGUAGCAGUGAAAUGCGUAGAUAUCGUGAGGAACACCAGAGGCGAAGGCGGCUACCUGGACAAUUGCUGACGCUCAGGCACGAAAGCGUGGGGAGCAAAAGGG